rnacentral:rRNA from 2 species
CACGGUCCAGACUCCUACGGGAGGCAGCAGUGGGGAAUAUUGCACAAUGGGCGCAAGCCUGAUGCAGCCAUGCCGCGUGUAUGAAGAAGGCCUUCGGGUUGUAAAGUACUUUCAGCGGGGAGGAAGGCGUUGAGGUUAAUAACCUCAGCGAUUGACGUUACCCGCAGAAGAAGCACCGGCUAACUCCGUGCCAGCAGCCGCGGUAAUACGGAGGGUGCAAGCGUUAAUCGGAAUUACUGGGCGUAAAGCGCACGCAGGCGGUCUGUCAAGUCGGAUG